AGUAUUCUCAUCUGCAGAAUAAUCCAGCUACACCGAGAAUGGAAAAGCAGAGUCAAGACCUGAUUCUCUCCAAAUGAUGCCCAGGUAUGACACACAGAUCUAUGUAGAAGAAAGUCCUCAUCUUCCCUCAGGGCUUGUGCAAACUCCAGAGACUGAUGGAUGCACAAUUUCAGUGCUCUCUACUCCUAAUUAA
rnacentral:lncRNA from 1 species